UUUCUGACAUAAUCCCACAAUAUAUUGGGACAAUGACAAAUCUGAAAUCCUUAUAACUUACCUUUAACAAUUUGACAGGAGAAAUUCCAAGCAGCUUUUCAAGACUCUCAGCGCUAGAUUAUAUGUAUCUUACUAGCAACAUGCUGACUGGGGUCAUACCCUCUUGGGUCCGAGGUAGCAACCAUUACUUGCCUUUCAGAUUCCUACUGGGUUAUUAUUUUUUCCACUCCUGAAAAGGCAUAAACAUAGCAUUGCAUGAUGCUGUCUUGCACGGACUUAUCUUACAACAAUUUUACCAGGCCUGAUAUAACCCAAUGCUCAGCAGGAAACUUGUAAGAACAAUAAUUUUCCACACUUUGUUUGUUUUCCUUUUCCCGGAGUGCUAUGUCCUUAGUUUUUCUCUUUCAUGGAUGUUCCUCUCUAUUCAUAUGCAGGAAUUUUGCUCUAUCCUUUGGUAGUUCUUAUUUCCUUUGCUUCUAUUAUAAAUUCUGUUUAUUCUUUCUGUCAUUACACUGAUUGUUUCAAAGAUUUUAUUUCGAAUGGAGCUUGGAUAUUAGGAACAAUGUGUGAUCUAGGUUGUAUGAAUGAAACUAUAAUAGUUAUCAAUUGCAUCUGGUUUAUCUACUUAAU